UUAGAGAUUUCGAAAGGCACUUAGGAUGGUAAGCAAUCUUCACUUCCAAUCGAGAGGUUGUGAGUUCGAGUCUCCCCAAGAGCAAGGUGGGAAAGUUCUUGGAGGGAAGGAUGCCAGGGGUCUAUUUGGAAACAGCCUCUCUACCCAAGGUUAGGGGUAAAGUCUGCGUACACACUACCCUCCCCAGAUUCCAUUAAAUGGGAUUAUACUUGAGUGCCAAACAGCCUCUCUACCCAAGGGUAGGGGUAAGGUCUGUGUACACACUACCCUCCCCAGACCCCACUAAAUGAGAUUAUACUGAGUUGUUAUUGUUGUUGUUGUUGUUGAAAGGCACUUAGGACUAGCUGUUUUAUAUUCUGCCAAAAAUUACAGCAAAAACUACCCUUAUAGCACCUCAAGCUUUUAAGAAAUUUUUACCUCCUAUAGCAAAGGUUAACACCUUAUUUAUUUUAAAUAAAUAUCAUUUUAAAAAAUUAUAUUCUAUAGAUACCUGUUAAGGUUUAUAGCAAAAUAUUUAAUUUUGGUUACCAUAAGUCACUAAAUACGCUAGUGAUUUACAUUAUUUUCUUUCUCUUUUUACUUUGAUACAUCCUAUUCUCUUCCCCCGUCCCAUUAAGAUUUUUAAUUUCCUCCUUUCACCGAAUUUGUGCAAGACCACUUCAAAAAUUGCUUUGGCUCCCGCAUCCGGUUGAGAGGAACGGGAGCACUCCGAACAGUCUCUGAGACGGGCCUUAGAGCCAUCAAUUGGUUCGCUAUAACCUUCAAUCGACACCUCUGAAGUAGCCAUUUUUCUUGUACUAAUUCUCAACAUAGAUCUCUCAUCUCCAAGCACAAAUUAAUUAUCAACAAAAUGAAACUUACUUUUCACAAAUUAGCAAGUAACCAAGUGAUAUCCUUAUCAAAGUCAAACAGAGUGUAAAGAAUCGUUAAAUACAAUAAGAUACAUUUAAAUUGCUUACGAAAUCAUGUUCGGAAUCCGGUGGGUCAUCGGAGGUUGAGCAAUUUAAAGAUUCUGUUACCUUUUUUUAAGAGCAUUUCAAUGUAUCUUGUUGUAUUUCUAUGUAUUUCAUUGUAUUCACUAUCUUUUUUUCAUUGUAAUUCAAUGUAUUUCGCUGUAUUCCGUAUAUUUUAUUGUAU
rnacentral:lncRNA from 1 species